GAGAGAGAGAGAGAGACAUGUGUAACGGAGUUGAAAAAUCCGUUUAACAAUAUAAGGUAUAUAUAAUGAGUUUCGCCAUAAUUCAGUUGUAAAUAAUGUUGGUGUUUUGGAGCCACCUCUGGAGCUGUGGUGU